UGGUUGAUGUUCCAUAGGUCUCACUUGCCUUCUUUUGCUGUAGCACAUGCCUGAAUUGAUGGCUUUGGAGGUUUGGCAAUUUGCUUCAGCUGACUGUCUUCAACAAGAACUUAAAUGCAGCUGCUAUGCCUUGGCUUAAUGAUGAGAAAGAUGUUGUUGGCUCAAGUUGUUGCGUGAUUUGCAGUGCAGGUUGUGUUGGAGCUCCCUACUAGGCUAGAACUGGGUCUGACAUGAGAUUAUGGUAUUGCUGCAGGUCUGAACUAGUUUGUAGGCUUAAAACAAGUUGGUCAUUGACACUCAUUAUUCUGGAUUAUGCAUUGAGGUUUCCGGUUGGUUUGUUAUUGCCAGGAGAUUGGUUCCUUUGUUGCAACCUUCAUAAGCCUUUCUCAUCAUCAUGAGUUAAAAGCCAAAUGCCUGUGUUAGUAUUUCCAAAUGGUUAUGUAUGUGGGUUUCAUUUGACUGUGGUGUUUAUGCAUGAUGAUUGCAGCUGGUAGCAGGUUUUUAUUUACAACUUCACUGCUUGGAUAUGUUUCAUUUGGAUUUUUGGUAACAUGUGAUGGCUCACG
rnacentral:lncRNA from 1 species